UGGGAAAUCGUCUAACGGUAGGACACUACGCUCUGGACGUAGUAAUCUAGGUUCGAAUCCUAGUUUCCCAG
rnacentral:tRNA from 1 species